rnacentral:rRNA from 1 species
UUACGGUCAAAUCACGCUGAAACACAGGUUCUCGUUCGAUCACCGAGGUUAAGCAUCGAGAGCCAGGUCAGUACUUAGAUGGGGGACCGCUUGGGAACACCUGGUACUGUAAG